rnacentral:rRNA from 1 species
AAUUUUUAGUUCUUUAGAUUUGUCCCAUCUUUAUAGAUGUCUGUGACAAACUGAAGAACUUUCUUUGUGGAAGUAAUCUUCUGCCCUUUACUGGGUUGGUUGAUUAAUCUGCUUCAUUUACUGUGAGAAAAACAAGGUGCUCAAAGCAGGCUUUAUAGCUUGAAUGCGUUAGCAUGGAAUAAUAAGAUAGGACUUUGUUUCUAUUUUGUUGGCUCUGAGAAAUAAAGUAAUGAUUGAUAGGGAUAGUUGGGGGUGCUCGUAUUUAGCGGUCAGCGGUGAAAUGCAUGGACCCGUUAAAGACGAACUUAUGCGAAAGCAUU